UUUAAAUAGCUUAAAUAGAGUAUAGUAUUGAAGAUACUAAGGAAAUGUAAUUAUUUUUAAAUAU
rnacentral:tRNA from 1 species